GAUGAUUCUUUAUCCCACAUGUCCUUGGUAUUCAGUGGGUAGGUCAUUAGGCCCAUGGAGAAAUAAGUGGGAAAAUGUCCAAGGGAUGAAAAACGUCUAUAUAGCAUGGGGAGAAGUGGAUAGUUUUACCAGGUACUGAAUUUCAGCUUUAAGAGGUGCAGGUUCUGAUCCCAGCCAGAACACUUGAGAGGACUAACUUCUGGGAAGGAAGCAGAAUAACAACGUGAGCCUGUGAACGUUCCAACGAGAUCCUGCGUUAGCCGUUUCUUCUUGCAGGUGAGACACAGAAUCCCAAAAGUUUUGCCCUAGAGAAAGGCACACUUGAAGAUCUUUCUUCCAUUUUCCGCACGAGAGAGAGAAUGCAAGUGGGGGAGAGAAGCAGAAGGAGAGAGAGAGAGAGAGAGUGCACGAGAUGGAGAGACGGGGAGAGGGAAGGAGAGAGAAUCAUAUGCAGGCUCCAUGCUCAUCAAGGAGCUGGACGUGGGGCUUGAUCCCCCGACGCUGGGACCACGACCUGAGCUGAAAUCAAGAGUAGGAAACACCACCAACUGAGCCACCCAGGCGCGCCUGUGGUUCAAGAGUUCUACACCUGUUUUCUCAUUUGCUCCCCAUCUUCUCGUUCAGCCCUGUGAAGUGGGCAGCACUGAUUUCUUCUCCAGGGUUGGCAGCCUCCUCUUAAGAAGGAUCAGAAAAACUCAAGACGAUAGGAAAGUAAGCCGGCAUGGAAACUAUUGCCCAGCUGACCGCUUUAUCCCGAGCUUCCUGGGCUUCAAAGAAGCGGCUCAACAAGUUUGAGAAGAAAUAUAAUGGUAACGGCAGCGGCUGCGGGAGCCUAACAGACGGAGGUAAGGCAUCCGAAAUACUGAACAAGCCUCUUGGGGCAGACUCCCACCCGGAGCUGUGUAAAGUCUGCUUAAUUAAAUGUGCCUUCUAUUAUGGUCUUUGCUGAUUCACUGAGGAGGAAGAAGAGGCAGUGACCUUGUAUCGAAUCACGGCAAAGGCAAAGACUGCAUGUCAAUUCUCGUGUUGGUAGGAAGGUGUUAAUAACGUCUCCAAGCUGGACGGCUCCUGCCGGAGGACUGACUUCUCUAGGCCUUAAAAACAGCGCCCGGCGCCCCGGCUUUAGCUGUUGGGUGCUGACUAAGCACUUUUCGAGCUGCCUUCAGUUGAAAGACAGAGGAGGCGGAGGAAAUCCUCACUCGGCCAAAUCUAUCCCAUAUGAGAGGGCAGGCUUAAUGAGAAUCGGCCCUGAGCCCUGGCUCGGCAGUGCUUCUGGAAUGCACGUGAUUUACAGCCAGCAGGGGCUGCAGAGUUUUCUGCCUUAGUCUCUCUUUCUCAUGUUUGAAAAACUUUCACGGCCAAAAUUUUAAUUUCAGCUAAUGAAGGCAAAGAGGAAAAAAAAAGAACACGGUAGCUUUACAGCACGCACACAAGGCCUGGAGGAGAUAGGAAGACGAACGCACGUUAGAGCUAACGACUGCGGGGAGCUUCCAGAAUAAGUGGACACGUAUACAAACAGGGCAACAUAGCUGACAAACAGAAGCGUGAGCCAGGUUCUGUGGAAGCCUAAAUAUCAUGCGUUUUCCAUUUUCCUUCGGGAGCCUUUCUUCAUCGUGACGGAAUGGUCUUAUGUUACGAAACCAUCUUUGACAUGGUACGUGACUUCCAACCAACAGGACUGAGUUGUAACGAUUUACUUUCUACAGGUGAGGCUCCUUGGUGGGCAUGGUGUUUUCCCCAAACCCAAAGGUAAUAUAUUAAUAAGGUCUUGAAAAAUGCAACCAGUAUAAACAGGGCUGAAGUCGUACUUGACUCCUUUUUUUUUGUCCACCUCAUCAUCUCUCAAUUUGAAUCCCUGGAAGGUAGUAAUCACCAUUUCGGUUUGGUGAACAUACUUCCAGAUCUUUUUUGCUUGCAUUUAUACACAUAGACACAUAAACACGCGUGCACACAAACCUUCAGAGAUACAAACACACACACACAUGCACACAUUGAGAGAAAACUAUGAAGUUUAAAAAAUGAAUGUGACAAUUCUAUAUACAGAAUUCACUUUCAACUUGCUUUCUAACUUGGGAUAUGUCAGCACAUAGGGACAUCAUUUUUAACGGCUUCGUACUGUUCCACAAUGUUGAUGUGCCUUAAUCAAUAACUCCCUAUGAGUUUAUAAUUUUGUUACCCACAGAUGAUCCCCCCCCCUUUUUUUUUACCAUCUCCAGUAUCACAAAGGAUGUCAUUUUACCUGUCCCUAGUAUUACAAAAGCAAGUAUAUAUCUAGGGUAGAGGUGGACACAUAGAUUAGCUAAAUUAAAAAGUCUGAGAUUUAAAAAUUUUUAAAUAGAGGAACAUGGCCAAAAAACUAUUCUACCAGCAACAUUUUGGCCCAUAUUUGUCCCAAUAUGACAUUGUUAAUCUUUUCAACCCUUUGAUAAUCUGACGGAUUAAAAGCAAAUAGAAUUUCAUUGUUUCAUUUUGCAUUUUCCUGGUGGAGGAAAUAAGCACUUAAAAUAGUUUUCAAUUUCUUGGGGUGCCUGGGUGGCUCAGUUGGCUAAGCAUCCAACUCCUGAUUUCGGCUCAGGUCAUAAUCUCAUGGUUCCUGAGAUGGAGUCCUGCAUUGGGCCCCGUGCUGUCUUUUCUCUCUCUCUGCCCUUCCCCCACUCAUUCUCUCUCUCUCUCUCUCUCUCUCUCUCUCUCUCUCUCUCAAAAUAACUAAAUAAAGUUAAAGCAAUAGUUUUCAAUUUCUCUUUUUCUUUUCUAAGUAAGCCCAGAGUUAAUAGUAGGGUGUUUAUGGACUCUACAUGAAAGGAUUGGCCAGAGAUGGAAAUUGGCUCUCAUAUUAUUGUUAGUUUCUAAUUUUACCAAAUUGUAAUCAGCUCGUGUGGCCUGUGUGAUUUUUGCUUUUUGGAAUUUGAUGAGAUAUGCUUCAUGAUCUAAUUCUUGGUCAGUUUAUGUUCUGUGUAUGCUUAAAAUAACGUGUAUUCUUUGUUUAUUAGUUACAAAUCUCUACAUAAAUCAUAUUUGGUUAAUUGUUUUAUUAAAUAUCUAUCCUUACAUAUUUUUAGUCUUCUUGAAAUGGUAAUUUCUAGAUGUAUGGUAAAAAUUUCUUUCUAUGACAUGAAUUCAUGAAUUUUUCUUUGCAUUAGUGGUUGUUUUAAAGACCUCCAUGUUAUGUUGUUAAGUGCCAAAAGGUUUGUGAAUGUUUUAUGUUCUUUUUUUAUUUAAAAAAAUUUUUUUUAACGUUUAUUUAUUUUUGAGACAGAGAGAGACAGAGCAUGAACAGGGGAGAAGCAGAGAGGGAGGGAGACACAGAAUCCGAAACAGGCUCCAGGCUCUGAGCUGUCAGCACAGAGCCCAACGAGGGGCUCGAACUCACGGACCAUGAGAUCAUGACCUGAGCCGAAGUUGGAUGCUUAACCGACCAAGCCACCCAGGCGCCCCUAUGUUCUUUUUUUAAAUGUUUAUUUAUUUGUGUGAGAGAGAGAGAGAGAGAGAGAGAGAGCAAGUGGGGGAGGGGCAGAGAGAGAGAGGGAGACAGAGGAUCUACAGCAGGCUCCAAGCUAUCAUUGCAGAGCCCGAUGUAGGGCUCAGACCCACGAACUGUGAGAUCCUGACCUGAGCUGAAGUUGGACGCUCAACCAACUGAGCCACCCAGGUGCCCCAUGAGUGUUUUAUCUUCUUGACAGAUUUCUUUCAUCAAUGUGAAAUAUUCCUCUGGCUUUUUUUUGAAAAAUUUUGCCCUUGAUUGUAUUUUGUCUGAAAUUUAUAUUGCUAACACUGUAUUCCUUUUAUUAGGCUUUGCCUGGCACAUCUUUAUUUUCCAAUUUACUGGGUCCUUUUGAAUACCUACGUUUGCAGUGUUCCCUUCUGUUGCAGUGGUUCUUUGAUGUGAUCCUUUUGGACUGUGUUUUCCUCAUGGACAUCAUAAUCCUACCUGCCUUCUGUUUUUCAGAGAUUCUUCCCUUGUUUUCAUGACUAUAAAUGAAAAUGCAUGUGUGUGCGUGUGUGCAUGUGCAUAUGUCCAUAUGUAUGUGUGUGUGUGCAUGUGUGUGUGUGUGCAUGUGUACGUGCGUGUGUGUGUGUGUGUGCAUAUGUCCAUAUGUACGCGUGUGUGUGCGUGUGUGUGUGUGUGUGCAUGUUUUCCUGUCAUUUAAGGCAGGCAGGAAGGAGGACAUCAUGUGCUCGGGCUGCCAUCUUGAUCCAAUCCCAUGCUUUCCUUAAUUCCAGAUUUCCUGCCCUCUUCCUACCCUAAAACAGUGCUCACCUUUCCUUCCAGCUCAGUGGGUCUGGAUGUUGAAGGUGCUGUGACAGAAACGGCACAGAAUAAAGUCUGUGAAUACGUUUGGUCGGCAUGCACCCGUUGAAAAACUACUUUGGUUUCCAUUUCUUUAUGGCCCCAAAGUUGGUUUCAGCCUGAAAUGCUACAACUUAAGUUUCACUAGCAUGCAUUAUUCAGUAACAGCUUACAUAGCUCAGUGUUAUCAUCUUCCCAUCUCAUUUCCAGAAAGGUCUGUUUAAUUUGUAAACAGUCCAUUAUAGACAACACUAAGUAACAUCACAAUAUGGCUCUUCUUCUGGGUGAUAUAUUGGCAAUAUGUAUAUCCUCGUUUCUUCCAUGGAAGAAGUAUGUCUAAAGGCUGCUAACUGGACCAUUGGCAAGGCCUGGCACGAACUAACUGCAAUGUAACUCUUACCAAGUUUUGGCCAUUAAAGGUCGCAUGUAGAAUGUACUAUUUUUAAAGUCAGCGGGAAGAGAAAGCUCACAUUAUUUAUAAAGGACUGGUACUCUAUUCAUUCUCUUAUUUUAUUUAAAACAUUCUCACCUCAUUUUCUAUGUUUUAUGUUUUCCUUUUAGGUACAGAGUUUAUUUUCAUUUACAGGGCAUCAAACCCCCAACCGUAGGAUUUCAGACUAAAAAGAGCUUAAUGAGGUUAGGCUCAUCCUAUGUUUGAGAGUUUUUGUGACUGGCUCAAGUUCAUAUAUUGACUUUGUGGCAGAGCCGGCAUCAGAAUGUGGGUUGCCUGAGCCCAGCACACUGUUUAUAUGUAAAUUUACAUUUACGAAAGAUUUUUAAAGAUUCCAUCUCAUCCUCAAAUUACUAAAAAAAAUUCCAGGAAAGACCAGAUGGCAAGCAUGAAUAAUCUCAAUUUUCAUAGGAGGGGAUACUGAAAAGGAAGGAUGAAUUAAUGACUUGCUUAAAAUUAUCCACAUUAGGAGUUGUCAGAAAAACAAUGUGGAGUCUUUACUACCAGGCCUGUGCAUCUAAGAGCCUCUCCAUCUUCUUAUCCCACAAGGCCACUUCCUAAAAGGACCGAGGUGCCUCCUCAAGGAACUGUCUCAUGGUUUAAUCCCUAUAGGAACCCAAAAUACAGAUUUGCUGUUAAAUUGUUAACAUAUUAAGUGUCUUCUUGAUUUGUGGUGACCUUAGAAAAAACUCAGCAAAGUCAGAGCCAGGUUGUCCUUUGUAAACUGGAGAAUGAUUCACCUAUUAUUCCAGAUAAAGUAAAAGGAUGAAUCACAGUGUGGCUUUAAAUUCCUUCCAGCUCUUUGUUUAUUGUUUCCUCUUAUAUGGAAUUCUAUUUAUUCAUUAAUCUAGCCCCAGCUCCUAACAAAUGGGGCAUCUACCAGGCCCUCGAGUAAACAUUUAGUACUAGGCCUUUGUGCUCUGUGUAGGAUUUCUGGAGCCCUCUUUCUACCUCUAAGUUAUGAAUAGGUCUUUAGACUCCAAGGAGUUGGCAAAUUCUUUUAGACUCUAAGAGCCUAAGAGUCUGCAAACUAUGGCUGGUGGACCAGCCACAUGUUUUUGUAAAUAAAAACUUUUAUUUGAACACAGUCAGGCCCAUUCAUUUGUAUAUUAUCUAUGGCUGCUUUCCCUACAGGGCAGAGCUGAACAGAAAUGACAGCUACUGAAAGGUCUUAAAAGCCUAAGACUUUUACUAUCUGGCUCUUUGCAGAAAAAAAAAAAAUUGCCAAUACUUGUGUUUAGAAUCUAUUUGCUACCUUUUAUGGUCAACCUGGAGUUGAACCAGUGUCUAGCAAAACAACAAAUGCACCAUGACAAAUGUUCAUAGAUCAGCAAAGCACUAACCUAGUCACGGAAGUCUAAUUUAGUGUUAUAGAUUCACAGGCUUAGCUAAUAUGUAAAUCAGCAAGCAUAAGUAAUGAUGAUUUCUGCUUGCAUGGCACUUUCCAGACUAGGAAAUAUUUUAUAUGUGUUAUCUCAUUUGAUCCGUCCAGUAACCUUAGAAAGUGGGCAAGAGACAGAUUCUGAGACAUUGUGUAUCCUAGAGUUGAACUUGGAAUCAAGCGUUUUAUUUUAGCAGCUAAAAUGAUUCCUUUAUCUUUGGAAAACUUUUCCUCCAGAGAAAUAAAAAAAGAAGGGAGGAAUUAUUAACAUUUAUCAUCUUAUAAUGCACUGUUCUGAAGUAAUGUAUUGGUAGAUCAUUUGCAACGAAUUGUAUUUUGUCACAACACGUUCUGUCUUCCUAAUUUGUGCAUUUAUGUCAAUAAGAUGAUAAUAAAAAUGACAUAAGCAUUUGA